UGUGCUCAGAGCCAGCACCACUCAGUGAAAGUGAUGCCUUUUCUCCAUUUGCACAAAAUGAGUGUGAGGUGGUCAGCCAGACCAGGAGCUCACCCUCACAUAGAGUCCAGGUAGGAUUGGGGCACCAUUGUGGGGAGUCGGCCCUGAGGACAACCGGAUGAGAUGUCAGCUGGGGAAAGAUUUAUGUCCCCUCUAAAGGGAGGAAGGUCUCUUCUAAGAGCAGUCAUGAUCCUGCCAGUAACCUACGGGAGCGAUAUGACUUCUAAGCCCUUUUCACAGCAACAGGGGCAAAGAGCAGUGCGUUGCCCGUUAGCAAUUGGACAUUCUAUUUGGUUAUCUGGUGAGAUGGCGAUUGGCCCAUCAUGCCGUGGAGGUAUCCCCUGGGGUUGGCACUGGCCCACACCGCCCCUGAGGGCUUAUCCCUGUUGCUCAGGAAUAAGUGUGAAUAAAAUGAGAGGAUCAAGUAUUUAAAAAAGGAGUGGAUUGGGGAUUUCUAGGUGUAAUACAUUGAUGGCUUGGCCUGCCUGCAGAUUCCUGCAGGUGUCUCUGAUGUCCUUUCUGUUUGUUUGCAGCCUUCUGCUCUGAUGCCGAAGGGGAGGCAGAAAGUGCCACACUUGGAUGCCCCCCCGGGCCUGCCCACCUGCCUCUGGCUGGAGUUAGCCGGGCUCUUCUUCCUGGUUCCCUGGGUCAUGGGCCUGGCAGGGGCCGAUGGGCCUAGAGCCCAGGGUCUGGGGGGGCUAAGCUGGGCCGUGCAUCUGGACAGCCUGGGAGGGGAGGAAGAG
rnacentral:lncRNA from 1 species